CCUACGGGAGGCAGCAGUGAGGAAUAUUGGUCAAUGGCCGCAAGGCUGAACCAGCCAAGCCGCGUGAAGGAAGAAGGAUUUCUGGUUUGUAAAUUUCUUUUAUAGGGGAAUAAAGGUAUCCACGCGUGGAUAUUUGCAUGUACCCUACUACUAAGCAUCGGCUAACUUCGUGCCAGCAGCCGCGGUAAUACGUAGGUUGCGAGCGUUAUCCGGAUUUAUUGGGUUUAUAGGGUGCGUAGGUUGUCUUAUAAGUCAGCGGUGAAAGUUUGUGGCUCAACCAUGAAAUUGCCGUUGAAACUGGAGGACUUGAGUGUGUUAGAGGUAGGCGGAAUGCGUGGUGUAGCGGUGAAAUGCAUAGAUAUCACGCAGAACACCGAUUGCGAAGGCAGCUUACUAGGCCAUAACUGACACUGAGGCGCGAAAGCGUGGGGAUCAAACAGGAUUAGAUACCCUGGUAGUC
rnacentral:rRNA from 1 species